AUGGAGCCUUGGGAUCCCACUGAUGCCCUCAAUCCAACCAGUGGGGGCUCCUCCCCAGCCCCACCCCAUCUGUGGGCAGCUGCAUCCCUGCCCAGCGGUGAGCCGCUCAGAGCCUGCCCUCUGCAGUCUGCUAAUUUGCCGGUCCCCCUGUCAGUCUCAGCGCUCCUGCCUGGGUCCCCCGAGCCCUGGCCAUCCCCGCCGUCCCCCAGGAGGGACCGAGAGUCCUCUCCCCGGUCAACACAGCUGAAGGGAGACCAGGAGCCCCCGUGGGUGUUGUCAGGGGACCUGCCGCCCGUCCUCUGCCUGUCCUCCGGUCUCCAUGCUGAUGUAGAUUGGAAGCUGGAGCCGGGCGUGGAGGGUCGAGGCCUGGCUGGGCCGGGCAGCUGCCUCACAGGGUGGACGGACGCCAGGUGCUCUGGGGUCUUGGGUGAGCGAGUUCUGGGCGCUUGCCGGGUGCUGCUGCGGUCACUCCCGGGUGGCGGAGAGGGGGGACUGCAGGGCCCGCACCUCCCUGGGCUCAGGCGGGGCCCUGGGGCUGCUGGAGACUGGGCAGGGCCCUGGCUGGGUCCGGAGCUCCGGCUGCUCCUGGGGACACCGCGAGACGGCCGCCUGGCCAGGAACCAACGCGGCUGCCAGGGGCUCCACCUGCUGCCGCUCCGCCCCCAGCCUGGGGGCUCUGUGUGCCGGGCGGAUUCCCAAAGCCUGGGAAGCGGGGGCUUGCGGAGAACUCCCCUGCCCCACCUGCAGCCAUGCCCAGCCCAGGAGGACGGUUCUUCCCGCAGAGGGACCUCCUCUACCCGGGGAGCCAGCCCCCUGCCCCGCCAUGCCCGCCCCCACCCGGGCCCUGUCCAGAGCCCCCGCCCGCUGCGCCAGGCGCCUCAGGCCCCCUCGAGGCUCCUGACAGGCCGGAGCGGGGAGGGGCAGCGCAGGGGCUGCAGGUGGCCGGGGACAGCGCGGGGCAGGGUCUCGGUUCCAGGAUGCCCGCUCAGCGCCCCUCGGGCUGCCCGCCGUGCCCAGCCAGCGCCGCGAGAGCAGGACAGGAACUGCCAGCGUCUUCAGGGGCAGUCGGUGUUCAGUGGGGACAGCCCCGGUGCGCCUCUUCGCUUUUUCUCUCAUUUACAUGGUCACGCAGGAAUAGGAAACAGCCUCGGCUUCCCCCGCGUGUGA
rnacentral:lncRNA from 1 species